rnacentral:rRNA from 1 species
AUGAAUGUUUUAUGCUGGAACUGCCGUGGCGCGGGCAAGCCCGCGGCAGUUUGUGAACUUCGCGAAUUCGCAAGGAAGUUUGCCCCCUUCGUGCUCUGCAUUGUAGAAACUCAAAUAAGUGGUGCACGUGUGGAAGCUUUAGCGGGUACUUUGGGAUAUGAGAAAUCUUAUGCAAUAAACAGUCAAGGUAGAAGCGGAGGGAUUGGUAUGUUAUGGAAUAACAGUAGCAAUAUCAAAAUCUUGGGUAACUCUUGUUACCAUAUUGACGCAAAGGUGCAGGAAGAAGGACAUGAUCCUUGGCGAAUCACAUGCGUCUACGGAGAAGCUCAAGCUCACCUCAGGGAUCAUACUUGGGAUGUGAUGAAGGGUAUAUCAACUAUGAGCACCCUGCCAUGGCUUUGCCUGGGUGAUUUCAAUGAAGUCUUACGUCCACUAGUAGAAAAUAGGGCUUUGGUUGGGGCCUGGCCAGCCCAUUAG